GAUGAACGCUGGCGGCGUGCCUAAUACAUGCAAGUCGAGCGAACAGACGAGUAUCUUGCUCCUCUGACGUUAGCGGCGUACGGGUGCGUAACACUUGGAUAACCUACCUAUCUGACUGGGAUAACUUCGGGACCCCGGAGCUAAUACCGGAUAAUAUAUUGCACCGCAUGGUUCAAUAGUGACUGACGGUUUUGCUGUCACUUCUAGAUGGUUCCGCGCCGCAUUAGCUAGUUGGUAAGGUAACGGCUUACCAAGGCAACGAUGCGUAGCCGACCUGCGAGGGGGAUCGGCCACACUGGAAAUGAGACACGGGCCAGAGGCGGACGGGAGGCAGCAGGAGGGAAGCUGCCGCAAUGGGCGAAAGACUGACGGAGCAACGGCGCGUGAGUGAUGAAGGUAUGCGGAGCGGAAAACGCUGGUAUUAGGGAAGAAAAAAGGUGUAAGUAACGAAGCACGUCUGGACGGUACCGAAGCAGAAGGCCACGGCUAACUACGG
rnacentral:rRNA from 1 species